UUUCCCUUGAUUUAUAUUUCCCUUGUUAUGUUUCAAAUGAAUGGCGGUAAACAAUUGGAGGAGCAUCUUGAUGAGAUAGUUUGUUCAUUUUUUACUAUCUUUCACUUGUUGUAAACGGAGACAAAUUACGAAUAGUUUAUAAUAUUGGUUGAAGCAAAUAGCACCAUUUAAGCUGUUGGAUUGCCAUUCAAAAAAGCAAUCUUAAAUUAACUAAAGUUUGCCACAAGCAGAUAGUUUCCUGAAAAAAUGGAGGAAACACCAGUUCCUGUUAAGAAAAGGUUGUCUUUAUCACUUGCAGCUAAAGAUGUAUGCUCCCCUUGCUUUAGCAAAAAUGCUGUAGAAUCGCCAAUGAGUAGCCUUGCACACAGUCUGAUUGGUCUGUCGUGUGCUGGGGGAACACCAAGAAGACGUCUGUCUUUGUGUGAAUCACCAGCAUCAUCUAGAUCAUCUUUAAGCUCUGACGCAGGUAAUUA